CUAUUAUGAAUGAACUUACUCAAAGUCUGUUAUUAAAGUCGUAUUCAAUGCACACGGCGCAGCGGUUGCACUGUUCGUUGUCGUUGCUUCGAUUGAUCUACCGAUCUACCUCCUCACUCGGCUGACUGAUUGCCAGGUAGUCACCUUGACCAAGUUUAUCCGUCCAAUGAAUCACCUGGCAUCACUCAAGGGUCAUCUGAUCCGCAAUUGAUCACUACUUUCAACCGUAGCCAAGUACGCUUUCCUUUGCUUUCACACUUUGUUUUGUGAAAUAGAAGUGGGAGGUAAUGUGAUGCAACUAUUUGUACAACUGAACUAACGUCACAUUAAAUUAUCACCUCGAGAUUUCUAAUUCUGGUAAAUCAAAGCAUAGAUGCCAUCAACUUUAUAGGAGAUUUUGUGAGAAAUAUGACUUACUGUUCCUGGAGGGGGUGACCUCCCCCGAGUCCGUGGCGGGGGUGAAAAGCUUCUCGAGAUCAAUGGGUUUGUUUUGUGCGAGGCCAUCGUGCUCGUUCACCCUCACCCCACUCGCGUCCUGCAAUGAAACAGCAAAGGUUAAGAAGAGGUCAACAUGAAUCCUAAAGAGACAGUACAAGGGGAAAGAUCUCCACAUGUUCUGGGGGAAAUUCUCCCAGACUCCCCCUCAUUCGUCUCCCCCGAAGUUUUGAUGUUGACGACGCGGAUGGAUAGAGAUGUUUCAGCAAGCUCAAGGUCGUCGCAGUGUCUGCUAGACUGUGUGGAUGUUGUCUGGUGUUUAUGCAGAUGGCCGCCAUAAGUAGAGCAGCGAUAAACAAGCGGACUGAGCUGGCAAUGCAUGUAACAUCUCAGUGGAGAGCUGUUAAAUUCUACAUGUUUCUCUAUUUUAUGUAAAUGUCGAAAUAUCGCUAUAACAACAUCAUUGGCCUUUUAUUGAAUUAUGAUAUUAAUUUUACUACAAUACUUGUUUUAAGUAUUGAAAUUAAAUUACUGUAAUCCUAGACACACGCUGUGACAAAUAUAAAAUAUAAUUUAAUUCAUUUGUAUAGUAUCUAUUCAGAUCCAUAAUGCUUGAUUAUAAAAAAUGCUGUGUUUAAUUUACCAAACUGUCAAAAUAGUUCAUAAAAUGAUGCGUCAAGUUCCAAAUGUACGUGGCGAUUUUUACUGAUUACAUGUAAUCUAUUAUUUAUUUUGUGACCAUCAAAUGUCAAGAAUGUAUAAUAGAUAUAGGUUUAAGUGUGUUUUUUAAUGGUUAUAUUUAAUGAUGAAUGUUAAAAAUGACGGUGCUACAGUUAAUUUCUUCUUCUUUCAUUUCACUGAUUUAUUAACAGUCAUAUUAAUAUACAUUUAUGUUUACCAGGUGUUUAACAUCCGUUUUAUGGAUAGCACAUUUAAUUAAAUUUAAAUUUCAUUGUUUUACCAUAGAUUGCUAUUAUUGCUGAAAACUGAGACCAUUUUUAUUACCCAAGUACCAAUGAAACUGUAACAGUUUAAAUAAAUCAACUUAUAAGUUAUACUAAUUAUAUAUUUUAAAAGUGUUACUAAAUAUGAUGCAUUUGUAUUUAGUGUAUAAACCUAAUCAUAAUUUAGAAGAAUCUAUAAGUUUUUUUAUUUAACAAUCUCAAUACUGUGAAUAGUAAACAAUAACAUGACAUUUUCUAUAUACUAAUGAAUCAUUAUAUUCGUGGAAUAAACCAAAAAGAGGGAUUCCUUUAUUUAUGUGAAUGAAAUAGUAUACGGUUUAGGAUAUUUAAGUAGUGAACAUGCGUGGCGAGUGUUUGUUGGAUGAUUUCUUAGGUAUCCUGGUAAAAAUACACUAUGUAAGCCUUCAAAAAGGUUAUAUAAUAAAGUAAGGGGUAAAAGCACCAUAUCAUCAGCUGUAGUACUGUACACAUUUGGAAAUUUGAAGUAAAUCUAAAUACAGAGCCGGUGAACGCAUCACCGACUAGUACCUUAUAUUUUGCUAUAUUUUACGAAUUAUUUUAAAAGUUUCUCUUAAUGUCUAAGCUCUCAAUUAAUGGAUAAUAGGGCCAGGGCCUAUGCAUUUUGGAACUGUCGGGGUCUUUUAUCCUUAAGUUGGCUCAUCCCGUGGAUUAAUUCACUCAAAAAUCAUUUCCCGGUUCUCCCUAACUUCUCGUCCUCCCACCAAAGAAUCCAGCUAUUCUCUGCCUAAGUAAUGUAAUCUCACACUUUAAUAUCUGCCUGACUUUGAAAAUAAAACUUUGGAACUGAA